UACGUAGGUGGCAAGCGUUGUCCGGAUUUACUGGGCGUAAAGAGCGCGCAGGCGGUCGUUCAAGUCGCGUGUGAAAGCCCCCGGCUCAACUGGGGAGGGUCACGCGAUACUGAUCGACUCGAAGGCAGGAGAGGGUAGUGGAAUUCCCGGUGUAGUGGUGAAAUGCGUAGAUAUCGGGAGGAACACCUGUGGCGAAGGCGGCCGCCUGGUUGGAUACUGACGCUGAGACGCGAAAGCGUGGGGAGCAAACAGG
rnacentral:rRNA from 1 species